AUUGAACGCUGGCGGAAGGCCUAACACAUGCAAGUCGAACGAGGGGCGGACGGGUGAGUAAUGUCUGGGAAAAUGCCCGAUGGAGGGGGAUAAAUACUGGAAACCGUGGCGAAUACCGCAUACCAUCGGAUGGUCCCAGAGUGGAUUAGCUAGUAGGUGGGGUAACGGCUCACAUAGGCGAGCAUCCCUAGCUGGUCUGAGAGGAUGACCAGCCACACGGGAACUGAGACACGGGCCAGACUCCUACGGGAGGCAGCAGUGGGGAAUAUUGCACAAUGGGCGCAAGCCUGAUGCAGCCAUGCCGCGUGUAUGAAGAAGGCCUUCGGGUUGUAAAGUACUUUCAGCGAGGAGGCGUUACUCGCAGAAGAAGCACCGGCUAACUCCGUGCCAGCAGCCGCGGUAAUAC
rnacentral:rRNA from 1 species